GACGAACGCUGGCGGCGUGCCUAAUACAUGCAAGUCGAGCGAAUCAAUAGGAGCUUGCUCCUGUUGGUUAGCGGCGGACGGGUGAGUAACACGUGGGCAACCUGCCUGUAAGACUGGGAUAACACCGGGAAACCGGUGCUAAUACCGGAUAAUCCUUUUCCUCUCAUGAGGAAAAGCUGAAAGUCGGUUUCGGCUGACACUUACAGAUGGGCCCGCGGCGCAUUAGCUAGUUGGUGAGGUAACGGCUCACCAAGGCGACGAUGCGUAGCCGACCUGAGAGGGUGAUCGGCCACACUGGGACUGAGACACGGCCCAGACUCCUACGGGAGGCAGCAGUAGGGAAUCUUCCACAAUGGACGAAAGUCUGAUGGAGCAACGCCGCGUGAGCGAUGAAGGCCUUCGGGUCGUAAAGCUCUGUUGUUAGGGAAGAACAAGUACCGGAGUAACUGCCGGUACCUUGACGGUACCUAACCAGAAAGCCACGGCUAACUACGUGCCAGCAGCCGCCGCGG
rnacentral:rRNA from 1 species